rnacentral:rRNA from 1 species
UACGUAGGCAGCAAGCGUUGUUCGGAGUUACUGGGUGUAAAGGGUGUGUAGGCGGUUCCUUAAGUUUGCUGUGAAAUCUCCCGGCUUAACCGGGAGGGUGCGGUGAAUACUGAGGGACUAGAGUACGGGAGAGGAAAGUGGAAUUCCUGGUGUAGCGGUGAAAUGCGUAGAUAUCAGGAGGAACACCGGUGGUGUAGACGGCUUUCUGGACCGUAACUGACGCUGAGACACGAAAGCGUGGGUAGCAAACAGG